CAAAAAGUAGUUUAUAAAAAUAAAAGCUUUGGAAGCUUUAGAUUUAGGUCACUAACUUUUUGA
rnacentral:tRNA from 1 species